CCUCUUUCUCUCUCUCUUGUUCAGCCAUAAAAGCGACCAAGGGAAGCUUAAAUUUUUCUACCAAUCAGACCAGAUUUGAGGUGAAUUAAGCUUAGAAAAUCCAAGGGUUUGAUAGUUAAAGUUAAGGGGCCUGUAAACCAUCGAGGAACAGUUUCCACUCAGGAUGACCACACACCUAAAUUUAGAAUCAAGGCUAUUCUAAUAGAAUGGACGCCAAGUGGAACAUGAGAAGCCAGGGUAGUUCAUUUAGAUCUGGUGGAAAUCAGAGAGUCCAGUUUCCCCCAAAUAUUUGUGGUCAAGGUGGAGGCCUAAGAGGUAGGGCAUGCAAUCAGGGAGAUGUUAACCCACCGCAGGCUACUCAGGAUUGGGAACAUAGGUUUACUGAAAUGCAAGACAGGAUCAAUGAACAAGAUGAAGAAAUCCAACAUCAGAGACAGCAUUGUGCUCCUGUAAUGCCUCCUCCUGAGGUGUAGAUGGCUCCUGCCCCAGUUAUGCGCAAGUAGGGUCAGUUCCUAUUGGCAAUCGUAUGGAACAAGUUUAUGAAAGAAUCUAUAAACAAGCACCUCCAGUCUUCUUAGGAGGUCUGGACAUUAUGAAAAUCAAGCAAUGGCUAAUAGUUAUUAACAUAAUAUUGAAUUUUAUGGGA